rnacentral:lncRNA from 1 species
GGCACCUUUUGGGUCAACGUGGGCUUUGUGAUCUCAUCUAUACCACUGUUCUACUCUUUCUACAAGUCGUGGCGGGCAGAUCCAGGUAUCAUCAGUGCCAACAUGGAGCAAAAGUACAGGACAAUAGUGGAGCUGGCCGAGCAAGAUGGCUUCGACCCGGCCGUGUUCUGCAGCACCUGCCUUGUGCGUCGGCCACUACGCUCCAAGCAUUGUUCGGUGUGCAACCACUGUGUGGCUCGCUUUGAUCACCACUGCCCUUGGGUCAACAACUGCGUUGCUUUAGAGCUGUGAAUGUUCCUCACAACACGUGUUGGUCACAAAACAGACCACUCACUGAUCGCAAUGAACUCACAGGAGAAAGGACAGAUAAGCCGAGUAGCAAGAAACACAGCAGGACUAACUCAGAAUUUGUGCGAAACCAGCUGUGGAUGGUCACGUGACAUGUUUCUGCCAAUUAGCGCUUCAAUUCCUGUUUGCCAGCGACACGGCUGUCGCUGCAGCUAAAAAUGUGCACUUUUAAUUUAUUUGUUUGUCCUCUAGUGUACGCUCCACAGAAGGUUUUUCGUGACUAAAAGGAGCAAAAAACAAACAUUCGAACACGGGCAUUCGCUUCGCGUUCAGCUUCUUGCCCACUGUGCAGCCACGUCUUGAAAACGGCGUUUCAGAGGUGCUUUCAGCAUGAAAUGCACGCCACCGUCUCGUGAAAAGGAUUAAUUUUAUUAUUUUCUGCUGCACAGAUAACAACCAAACUUGGUGAGCAUGUUCUUUAAUGAACCAGAAAUCCAAAAAAACUCAAAUUUGAAAAUGCAAUUUUUUUUUUAAAUCGUUUUUUUAGCCCCGCAUCCCCCCUUAAAGAAGUACUGACACGAAUUUUAAAAUUUUUGGAUUGUUGCUCUAAAUAAAAAUACUGGUGCUGAAAAACCUAAAACGAGCAUUGUGGUGUCUGAGAAUGCAUCGAAUAUAUUUUUAUUACCACUACCUUAAACACUUUCGGUUUCGAUAUCGAGGGGGCGACUUCUCAGUGAUGUGUCAUAGAAGUGUGACGUCAUGGGGAGACAGCAACUCACGACGUACUAGCGUCAAAUCUGUCAUCGCCUCGUGGGGCACG